rnacentral:rRNA from 1 species
UGAGUACGAGCUGCUACGGCAGCGAAGUGGGUGACGUCAAGCUUCCAAGAAAAGCCCUAUACCCGUUAAGGCAUGAUGGCCUGUACCCGAAACCGACACAGGUGGGGUGGUAGAGAAUACCGAGGGGCGCGAGGUAACUCUCUCUAAGGAACUCGGCAAAAUGGCCCCGUAACUUCGGGAGAAGGGGUGCCACCGCAAGGUGGUCGCAGUGAAGAGGCCCAGGCGACUGUUUACCAAAAACACAGGUCUCCGCUAAGUCGCAAGACGAUGUAUGGGGGCUGACGCCUGCCCAGUGCCGGAAGGUUAAGGAAGUUGGUCAGCGAAAGCGAAGCUAGCGACUGAAGCCCCGGUGAACGGCGGCCGUAACAAUAACGGUCCUAAGGUAGCGAAAUUCCUUGUCGGGUAAGUUCCGACCCGCACGAAAGGCGUAACGAUCUGGGCGCUGUCUCGGAGAGAGUCUCGGCGAAAUAGAAUUGUCUGUGAAGAUGCGGACUACGUGCACCCGGACAGAAAGACCCUAUGAAGCUUUACUGUAGCUUGGUAUUGUGCCCGGGCUCUGAAUGCGCAGGAUAGGUGGGAGGCUUUGAUCCAUGGCUUGCGGGUCAUGGUGAGCCAACGGUGAGAUACCACUCUUUCAGAGCUAGGGUUCUAACGGUCACCCGUUAUCCGGGGACCGGACAGUAUCUGGUGGGCAGUUUGACUGGGGCGGUCGCCUCCUAAAAGGUAACGGAGGCGCGCAAAGGUUUGCUCAGGCUGGUUGGAAAUCAGCCGACGAGUGUAAAAGCAGAAGCAAGCUUGACUGUGAGACCAACAAGUCGAACAGGGACGAAAGUCGGCUUUAGUGAUCCGACGGUUCUGAGUGGAAGGGCCGUCGCUCAACGGAUAAAAGUUACUCUAGGAUAACAGGCUGAUCUCCCCCAAGAGUUCACAUCGACGGGGAGGUUUGGCACCUCGAUGUCGGCUCAUCGCAACCUGGGGCUGAAGUCGGUCCCAAGGGUUGGGCUGUUCGGCCAUUAAAGCGGUACGCGAGCUGGGUUCAGAACGUCGUGAGACAGUUCGGUCCAUAUCCGGUGCAUGCGCAGGAAUAUUGAGAGGAGUUCUCCCUAGUACGAGAGGACCGGGAGGAACGCACCUCUGGUGUACCAGUUAUCGUGCCAACGGUAAACGCUGGGUAGCCAUGUGCGGAGAGGAUAACCGCUGAAAGCAUCUAAGUGGGAAGCCCACCUCAAGAUGAGUAUUCCCAUGGCAUAAGCCAGUAAGGUCACGGGAAGAACACCCGUUGAUAGGCUCUACGUGGAAGCGCAGUAAUGCGUGAAGCGGAGGAGUACUAAUAGACCGAGGGCUUGACC